GUUGGAUCGCAAGUGGAAAGGGACUUUUGUUUUGAGUGAAAAAAAAAAAGAGACUUUUAUUUUGAAAAGGGAAGUGGAGACUUUACAGUUCUCAUGCCAGAAAGCAGGAAGUGCAGAGCUAUCUUCAAGCACAUGUAGUAAGAAGCUGUGAAGUUUAGCUGAGAAGCACAUGGUGAAUUGUUAUUGAAGAUAAAGGGUGAAGUGGGGAAAUACUUUACUUGCUGGGCAUUUCCAGGGAUGCUACUGGUUUUCAACCUGACGCAAUCUGACAUAGCCUGAUGUAAACUGAUUUAAUCUGAGUUAAACUUCUGAUUAUUUG